GCCCAUCGUGAAGACCACAGUUUCCUGUCGCGUGGAUGUGUUUCCUCUCUGGCCGUUGCCAUCCGCUCAAAUCUACAGGCAUCCCGCAUGUUCCCGGGCUCGUCUCCCCAAUACAGGGCACCAAGCAUCCUACCAAGGCGAAUCCAUUGACCCGGGUUUAAGUUGAGGACUCCCCCAGGACCCCGAGUGCAGCAUCUGGAUCCCCCUGCCCUGCCCUGCCCUGCCCUGCCUUGCGCUGCAGCCACUUCCGUUGUCCUGCCAGGCUGUAGACUGCGCAGACCUCCUGGAGACAGAUGGAAGUUCCUUGGGUCGACAGAUUACAGCUUCUGGAGCCCCCGACUCCCUUCAACUCCGUGAUGGACACCCACUGUCCAGGGAGAGGAUGCCUGGAAAUAACAGCCGGGAUCUACAGUGGCCAUAAGAGUUGUCUCUGUCUUGCUACAUAGACAAACUGGUGUUCCUGAGUGAGGAUUGUGCCCUGAGAUGGGGGAUUCAGUUUCUUCAUUUAUAGUUGGAAGUGUGUGAAGGUAAGGUGAGGCUGGGUUCUUUGAGGUGUGCCUGCUUGUUGCUGUACCCACUUGGGAUCUGUGUCUUGUGUGUCCUGUGUUCCCACUGUUGCUUCUGUACCCCUCUGCUUUACUCUGGUGGGUAGAGAGCAGAAUGGAAAGGAGCCAGAAGAUUUUGGGGGUCAUAUGCACCAUUCAGAUUUCAGCCACUGCUCUCUGCUGGCUUCCGGGCCUUGUCUGGUUCUUGACUUCAUCAUCUGAAAAAUGGGACUACCUCUGUGACAUAAGAGCCCAGUCACUUCAGUUCUGCCAGCUGGGCAGGUUGCAUUGAUCUAAGACAGCAAGUGCUGAGCCUACUGCAGGUCUCGUGGCCAGUGCUCAUUAGAACUGUCACCUCCUCCCAGCCAGUCUUCCGAGCUCUCCUUAAGGAACAGCUGUUGCUCAGUUAGGAGCAGCCUCUUUCCUUUGUUGGCUAUCUGGCUGUUGCCUGUCUGUCUGUCUCUUUCCAGUUUAACCAUUACCCAGCUCUUGGCCAUAGUCUUCCUUGCCCUCUGCCCCUGUAUUCGAAAGUGAUUGUGGGCUGCCAGUGCCCUGGUCAUUGAUACUGCAGGGAGAGGAUUUGGAAAGCCUUUCCCCGUGUUUGGAGGAUCCACACUUGUCCUUGCCAAACCCUGAUGCUUUCCCACAUUGCCCGCUGCCUGCCAUUCUGGCACUUCUGUGAAGCAGUGGUAGGGAGCUCAGACAGUGGCUGCUUCCUUCAGAUCCUUUCUCAGCCUCCACACCCAGUUGUCACUUCUUCAGGACACUUGAGAACUUGUAGAAAAUGUCCUGUUGCUUGACUUCUAGAAUGCAUCUUGCUGUGUUCUGUUAGUCAAGAGGCAGGGUUCUGACUGAACAAAUGAACAACCAAGGCACAGUCACUUUCUGUAAGGCAUUGUUGUGUGUAAACUGGGUAAACAGCCUGACAGGGAGGCCCGGGAGGAAGCAGAUUUGCCGUUUUGCCUCCUUGAAUUCUCCUUGAAUUCUUCCCUCGUGGCCUGCUUUUGACUCUUGCCUUAGGAGUAGCCACUUGGGAAGGGUUUUUCUCUCCACUCUGUGACAACAGGCAAGAGUGAGGGUCCAACAAUACAGAGGAAGUGACGUGUCGCUGCUACUCUUCCAUGCCCAGUGCCAGGAGCGACGGUACACUCCAGAGUGCUGUGCCCUGAUGGGCCUUUGAGCGGCCAGUGCAGUGGAUCAUCAGCCCUGUCUCCCAAGAGCUCCAGUCCCUUCUCCGGGGAGGAAGUGGGUCCACUGGCAGCUCAGGAGGCCAUAGCAGGAUUGUCACGUGUGCUCAACAGUCCUCGGCUUUCCAGAAGAUGCUGGAACAGGGCCCUUGAAGAUGUUUGUGGACACCAGAGGGCCAAAGAAGACAAAGUGAAACUGGAGACACCGCCCCCCUUGGCAUCAUGAAACUGCCGAUUUUACUGGCUCAUGCAUGGGAGACACCAGCAUACAAAGUCUUGACACCAACACCUCAGAGGGCUGUGUUCUGUCCCCGUGACCAUCAGCCAGUGCCUGGAAAGACUAGUGACAAGAACUUGUUGCCAACUUCCUCUUACCUCCCUAACAGUUGUGCAUGCAAUAAACCCCAUAGGUUAAUUCA